CACGGGGGGAGCAAGCGUUGUUCGGAAUCACUGGGCGUAAAGGGCGUGUAGGCGGUCAAGUAAGUGGAAUGUGAAACGCCUCGGCUUACCCGAGGACCUGCAUCCCAAACUGCUUGGCUUGAGUAUGGGAGAGGAUGAGGGAAUUCCUGGUGUAGCGGUGAAAUGCGUAGAUAUCAGGAGGAACACCGGUGGCGAAAGCGCUCAUCUGGCCCAAUACUGACGCUGAGGCGCGAAAGCUAGGGGAGCGAACGGG
rnacentral:rRNA from 1 species